rnacentral:rRNA from 1 species
AGAGUUUGAUCCUGGCUCAGAGCGAACGCUGGCGGCAGGCCUAACACAUGCAAGUCGAACGGACCCUUCGGGGUUAGUGGCGGACGGGUGAGUAACACGUGGGAACGUGCCUUUAGGUUCGGAAUAGCUCCUGGAAACGGGUGGUAAUGCCGAAUGUGCCCUUCGGGGGAAAGAUUUAUCGCCUUUAGAGCGGCCCGCGUCUGAUUAGCUAGUUGGUGGGGUAAUGGCCCACCAAGGCUACGAUCAGUAGCUGGUCUGAGAGGAUGACCAGCCACAUUGGGACUGAGACACGGCCCAAACUCCUACGGGAGGCAGCAGUGGGGAAUCUUGCGCAAUGGGCGAAAGCCUGACGCAGCCAUGCCGCGUGUAUGAUGAAGGUCUUAGGAUUGUAAAAUACUUUCACCGGUGAAGAUAAUGACUGUAGCCGGAGAAGAAGCCCCGGCUAACUUCGUGCCAGCAGCCGCGGUAAUACGAAGGGGGCUAGCGUUGCUCGGAAUUACUGGGCGUAAAGGGAGCGUAGGCGGACAUUUAAGUCAGAGGUGAAAUCCCGGAGCUUAACUUCGGAACUGCCUUUGAUACUGGGUGUCUUGAGUGUGAGAGAGGUAUGUGGAACUCCGAGUGUAGAGGUGAAAUUCGUAGAUAUUCGGAAGAACACCAGUGGCGAAGGCGACAUACUGGCUCAUUACUGACGCUGAGGCUCGAAAGCGUGGGGAGCAAACAGGAUUAGAUACCCUGGUAGUCCACGCCGUAAACGAUGAUUGCUAGUUGUCGGGAAGCUUGCUUCUCGGUGACGCAGCUAACGCAUUAAGCAAUCCGCCUGGGGAGUACGGUCGCAAG